rnacentral:rRNA from 1 species
GUGAGGAAUAUUGCGCAAUGGAGGCAACUCUGACGCAGCCAUGCCGCGUGCAGGAAGAAGGCGCUACGCGUUGUAAACUGCUUUUAACCGGGAAGAAACCCCAGGACGUGUCCUGGGUUGACGGUACCGGAGGAAUAAGCACCGGCUAACUUCGUGCCAGCAGCCGCGGUAAUACGAAGGGUGCAAGCGUUAUCCGGAUUCAUUGGGUUUAAAGGGUGCGUAGGCGGAGCGUUAAGUCAGUGGUGAAAUCCUGCAGCUUAACUGUAGACUUGCCAUUGAUACUGGCGCUCUUGAGUGCGGUUGAAGUGGGCGGAAUGUGCCGUGUAGCGGUGAAAUGCUUAGAUAUGGCACAGAACACCAAUUGCGAAGGCAGCUCACUAAGGCGAUACUGACGCUGAGGCACGAAAGCGUGGGGAUCGAACAGGAUUAGAAACCCGUGUAGUCC